CCAGGGUGCGGAUGGCACCCCACAGUUCUGGUAACCUUGUGCUUCUCAAUAAGACGUAGUGGUUGAAAGAUUACAGAGUGCACAUCAGGGUCUGUUUUCUGUUGCAUGGGCACCCUCAGCCAGAGGAGAAAGUCAAAGAGAAUGAGGAAUAAGCUGAUUCAUGUGGAGUUAUCUGCCCACUGGCACGCCAAGGCAACCAGCUGAAAAGCUUUGAUGGAAGCAGAAACUUAAAACCAAUGCAUUCACAACCCACAUGGAAAUGCUUUGAAUCAACAAUGAAGCCUGCCUAUGUGAA